GAUGAACGCUGGCGGCGUGCCUAAUACAUGCAAGUCGAGCGAACGGACGAGAAGCUUGCUUCUCUGAUGUUAGCGGCGGACGGGUGAGUAACACGUGGAUAACCUACCUAUAAGACUGGGAUAACUUCGGGAAACCGGAGCUAAUACCGGAUAAUAUUUUGAACCGCAUGGUUCAAAAGUGAAAGACGGUCUUGCUGUCACUUAUAGAUGGAUCCGCGCUGCAUUAGCUAGUUGGUAAGGUAACGGCUUACCAAGGCAACGAUGCAUAGCCGACCUGAGAGGGUGAUCGGCCACACGGGAACUGAGACACGGUCCAGACUCCUACGAGAGGCAGCAGUAGGGAAUCGUCCGCAAUGGGCGAAAGCCUGACGGAGCAACGCCGCGUGAGUGAUGAAGGUCUUCGGAUCGUAAAACUCUGUUAUUAGGGAAGAACAUAUGUGUAAGUAACUGUGCACAUCUUGACGGUACCUAAUCAGAAAGCCACGGCUAACUACGUG
rnacentral:rRNA from 1 species